AUUUCAGUGGAGAUCCCUGCCUACCUGAGGCCUUCCAAAGGCUGGACUUUCUGCACCACUAAUGUGAUCAAAAAGAUGGUUAAUGUGAAGUUUCAUGAGCAGCUAGAGAAAUCUUACUCAAGUUACACUGUUUGGCUUUGGUCAUCUCGUACACAAACCACUGAAUUGUGAAGGAGCAACAGAGCCCUUCUGCAGCAUUGAACUGUGGGUGCAUUCUGCCCUGGACACGGAGAGUGGGACAUAUACAUCAAACAGCCGAGCACAGUGACCACGUUGCUCUCUUGCCUGCAGGCAUGAGGGGACCAGACUGAUUGUGAAUCCUGGAAGGUUUCUCUGGAUUUCCCCCAGCAUGCUCCUCAUUGCCAGCAGCAAAGACUGCAGCUCAGACUGUGCACUGUCUUGUUGGUGGCAGGUUAUAUCCAGAGAGACUUUUGUGUAAAGCUGUCCCCAGAACUGUGGACCUUAAGGUCAGAGACAGUUUAAGCCUCAGGAGUACCAGGAAUGCUUCCAAGCUCAGCACUUACAAAAAGUUAACAACUUAUUCAGAUUUCCUAGCUAGAAAUAUUUAUGAUUGUAAUCAGAGACAUAUUGUGGAUAUAAAGCUUCACACAGUUUUCUGUAGGUUGGUUUGGAAGUUUACGAAGGAAGAAGUAUCCAAGAAAGGGAUUAUACAAAAUAUUCUGACCCACAGAAAGGUCAGUGCUGACAUUCUUGUGACUGUUCUUGCACACCAAUGCAGUCAACUGUUAGCAGAGCUGACCAAAUGUCAUUUUCUUUUCAUAAAACAGUGAGACUGGGUAAUCUGUUGUACUUUCUCAAUUAGUUGUAAUGAGAGACAUUUAACUACAUUAUUGGGGAACUAAUAUAAUUAUUGGAUACUAUGUUGAAAAAUUCAUAAUGAUUUGAAGCUGCUGGCAGCAUUUAAUGAGAUUUCCUGUUUUGCUUUCAUUCAUUCAAGUAUGUCCUUUAGCAGUCAGAUUUGGUAAAGGUUGAAAUAUAUUGGCAUGAAGGAGUUCCUUAAGAGUAAAAUUCACAUAUAGUGGGGUCUAUUUAUAUCCCAAACCUAAUCUGAGCCUAAUUAUUAUGGAAAAUCUUUUUUUGGCUUCCUUUUGUUCAUCUUUUUCCUAGUAAUGUUUCUGAUGUAAAUGAUGAGAAAACUGUGUUUCUCCUGAUAUCAGAUUGCUGUUUAAUCUGCAAAUACAUUAUGAAAGAAAAAACAUAAAGCUCUACUGGGGGGUUUUAAUACUUAAAACCUGUUAUUGAAUAGAAAAAAAAAAAAAAGACAAACUUAAACAAAAAAAAUCCACAAUAUUUGUUGAAUACACUCUUGGUUUUAGGUUCCAAGUACAGCUAGAGACUAUAUAAUGCUAUAGGACAAACUUCAAAACUUCAUUUAAAUAGAAUAGUAACCUGAAACAAAAAUAUAUUUAUCCUACUCUCUUAGGAAAAUGACUCGUGAGGAAUAAAAGUUGUCUGUAGUUUUAAGUAAGCUGUGUCUUUUAGCGUAACUCUGAAAUCAUUAUUUUUAUGCUGUAUAAUAUGACCCAAAUAUUGUAUUUUCGUCAGCAUGUCUAAUAGGUUGCUCAAUACCCUUGCUCUGUACAGGUCAUUGAGCCCAUUCAUGUUCAAUGAUAUACAGUAUGAAUGUUCAUGGGUAGUUUGAUUAUAUCUUUAAUAGUAGGUGAAGGAAAUGGCAUGGGUUUAUUUUUUGACCUUCUAGAAGUGUUUUCCCAGCUGAGUGAAUUGCACUUCUGUCCUGAUCAAUGGAAAAAGAAGUUCUGGAGAAGAAAAUGUUUAAUUACUGCAGAUAAACCUCCAAGAGCUGCCCGGUCUUUUCCUGUGAUUACCAUUAUAAAGUGAA